rnacentral:rRNA from 1 species
GAUGAACGCUAGCGGCAGGCCUAAUACAUGCAAGUCGAACGGAUAUAUGUUUUUCGGAAUAUAUAUUAGUGGCGCACGGGUGAGUAACACGUACAUAACUUGCCCUCAAGCGGGGGAUAGCCUUGGGAAACUGAGAGUAAUACCCCAUAGAAUUAUUGGACGGCAUCGUUUGAUAAUUAAAACUACGGUGCUUGGGGAUAGAUGUGCGUCUGAUUAGCUAGUUGGUGAGGUAACUGCUCACCAAGGCGACGAUCAGUAGGGGGCGUGAGAGCGUGGCCCCCCACACGGGUACUGAGACACGGACCCGACUCCUACGGGAGGCAGCAGUAAGGAAUAUUGGUCAAUGGAGGGAACUCUGAACCAGCCAUGCCGCGUGAAGGAUGACGGCCCUCUGGGUUGUAAACUUCUUUUGGAUGGGGCGAAAAAACGGGAUUUAUCCUGGACUGACGGUACCAUCAGAAUAAGCACCGGCUGACUCCGUGCCAGCAGCCGCGGUAAAGUAGUCGUG